rnacentral:rRNA from 1 species
GUGCAGUGGGUGCACUGGGCUGGGGGAGUGGGUAGGGUGCAAGGGUUGGUCUGGAGUAGUGGCGGGAGAGAGCUCGUAGGCGGCCUGUGGCGGCGGCUGUGGCAUGCCGGGGCGGAACCCCGGGCUUGCAGUCGGUACGGGCAGGCGAGAGUGCGGGAGGGGAGACUGGAAUUCCUGGUGUAGCGGUGAAAUGCGCAGAUAUCAGGAGGAACACCGGUGGCGAAGGCGGGUCUCUGGGCCGAUACUGACGCUGAGGAGCGAAAGCGUGGGGAGCGAACAGGAUUAGAUACCCGAGUAGUC